AUAUCUUUUCGAAUUUGAGUUCCCUCCAGCCCAGGAGUGGGAUUGCUGUAUUGUAUGGAACCUGAAGAAAAGUUUACAGUCUGCUAGCAUUGUAAGAUAUUCAGUCCCACCUAGGCUGUUGACUGCAACCAUCACUGAACCACACUUUUAAACAACGUUUGCAGAGUAUCUCCUACCCAUAGAUAGAGACCUGGAUACUGGACAAUGUAGAGAUGAAUAAAUUGUUUUCCAAGAUUCUCAGAGCUCAAGUGAAGAUGAUUUCAGGUCUGUAUGAGCAUGUGGUCCAGAAAAAGGGUGUGAAGAGGAGAAAGCAGGAAUGUGAUCCUUAAGCAGAUGGGGAUUUGAGCAAAUGUGACUGUCAGGGAAGAGCUGGGUGAAUAAAAUGAUGUAACAGAUGGUGCACUAUGAACAUACACAGCGGCAGAUAUUACUAAUGCACUACCUGAGAACUCCAGGUGGCUUUAUCUAUGGUUUUCAGGCCUGCAUCUAGAAUAGAAGCUCUCAGAUACGUAUUUACAAAGCAUUAAGCUUAACGGUUUAUCCUAACUUGAGAGUUUCACCAUGCCAUGGUUUUAGUCUUAGAAACUUUGACCUAAAUUAUCAAUUUUAAUAUACCCUGCAACCU